GCGUAUCAAUAAGCGGAGGAAAAGAAACUAACAAGGAUUCCCCUAGUAACGGCGAGUGAACCGGGAAGAGCUCAAAUUUGAAAUCUGGCGUCCUCAGGGCGUCCGAGUUGUAAUCUAUAGAGGCGUUUUCCGUGCCGGACCGUGUCCAAGUUCCUUGGAACAGGAUAUCAAAGAGGGUGACAAUCCCGUACUUGACACGACGACCGGUGCUCUGUGAUACGUCUUCUACGAGUCGAGUUGUUUGGGAAUGCAGCUCAAAAUGGGUGGUGAGUUCCAUCUAAAGCUAAAUAUUGGCGAGAGACCGAUAGCGAACAAGUACCGUGAGGGAAAGAUGAAAAGCACUUUGGAAAGAGAGUUAAACAGUACGUGAAAUUGUUGAAAGGGAAACGAUUGAAGUCAGUCGUGACCGAGAGGCUCAGCCGGCUCUGCCGGUGUAUUCCCCUCGGUCGGGUCAACAUCAGUUUUGUCCGGUGGAUAAGGGCGGUAGGAAGGUGGCACCCUCGGGUGUGUUAUAGCCUGCCGUCGCAUACAUCGGGUGAGACUGAGGAACGCAGCUCGCCUUUAUGGCCGGGGUUCGCCCACGUCCGAGCUUAGGAUGUUGACAUAAUGGCUUUAAACGACCCGUCUUGAAACACGGACC
rnacentral:rRNA from 1 species